GACGUAGGGGGCCAGCGUUGUUCGGAAUUACUGGGUGUAAAGGGUUCGUAGGCGGUGCGGCAAGUUGGGAGUGAAAUCUCUGGGCUUAACCCAGAGGCUGCUUCCAAAACUGCUGUGCUUGAGUGUGAGAGAGGCUCGUGGAAUUGCAGGUGUAGCGGUGAAAUGCGUAGAUAUCUGCAGGAACACCCGUGGCGAAAGCGGCGAGCUGGAUCACUACUGACGCUGAGGAACGAAAGCUAGGGGAGCAAACAGG
rnacentral:rRNA from 1 species